rnacentral:rRNA from 1 species
AUUGAACGCUAGCGGGAUGCUUUACACAUGCAAGUCGAACGAGUGGCGGACGGGUGAGUAAUAUAUCGGAACGUGACCAGUAGCGGGGGAUAACUAGUCGAAAGAGUGGCUAAUACCGCAUACUAAUCGAGCGGGCGAUAUCGGAUUAGCUAGUGGGUGGGGUAAAGGCGCACCAAGGCAACGAGCCGUAGCUGGUUUGAGAGGACGACCAGCAAAACGUGGAGUGAGACACGGCCCAGACUCCUACGGGAGGCAGAAGGGGGGAAUUUUGGAAAAUGGGGGAAACCCUGAUCCAGCCAUCCCGCGUGUAUGAGAAGGCCUUCGGGUUGUAAAGUACUUUUGGCAGAGAAGCGGUAUCUGCAGAAUAAGCACCGGCUAACUACGUGCCAGCCGCCGCGGUAAUUC